CAAAUACAAGUAUGGACAGUUCACGAAGAGCAGCAUCUAGAAGUAAAAGUAUCUGUUUUAAGGUCAUUUUUUAAGCAUUUUUCCUUUAUGAACAAAUUAUCUUCAUAGUUUGAUAAACUUUCAUUUCAGGCUUUUCAAACUAUUCAUUUUCUUGUUUUUAACAUUUAUUCCCAUCAAUUAUUUCUAAAUUUUGCUCCUAUUGUUCUUAUUUGGGUCAUUAUAUUUUUAACUUCGUACACUGUUGGGUUGUUGUUGGCUCCUGUUUUGUGUCGUAAAGGUCCCAAAUGUAGAGGGUCCUGAUUGAAAUUGUGUGUGAGUACAAAUGGAGCACUUUCAUUCAGGAGGAAUUCUGUACAUUCUGUUAUUGAGUUCACACUUAUUUGCAACCCUUGCAAUAUCUGGUAACUUAACUACAUCCCAG
rnacentral:lncRNA from 1 species